rnacentral:rRNA from 1 species
GAGAGGAGCUUGCUCCUGGAUUCAGCGGCGGACGGGUGAGUAAUGCCUAGGAAUCUGCCUGGUAGUGGGGGACAACGUUUCGAAAGGAACGCUAAUACCGCAUACGUCCUACGGGAGAAAGCAGGGGACCUUCGGGCCUUGCGCUAUCAGAUGAGCCUAGGUCGGAUUAGCUAGUUGGUGAGGUAAUGGCUCACCAAGGCGACGAUCCGUAACUGGUCUGAGAGGAUGAUCAGUCACACUGGAACUGAGACACGGUCCAGACUCCUACGGGAGGCAGCAGUGGGGAAUAUUGGACAAUGGGCGAAAGCCUGAUCCAGCCAUGCCGCGUGUGUGAAGAAGGUCUUCGGAUUGUAAAGCACUUUAAGUUGGGAGGAAGGGUUGUAGAUUAAUACUCUGCAAUUUUGACGUUACCGACAGAAUAAGCACCGGCUAACUCUGUGCCAGCAGCCGCGGUAAUACAGAGGGUGCAAGCGUUAAUCGGAAUUACUGGGCGUAAAGCGCGCGUAGGUGGUUUGUUAAGUUGGAUGUGAAAUCCCCGGGCUCAACCUGGGAACUGCAUCCAAAACUGGCAAGCUAGAGUAUGGUAGAGGGUGGUGG